rnacentral:rRNA from 1 species
GACGAACGCUGGCGGCGUGCUUAACACAUGCAAGUCGAACGGUAAGGCCCUUCGGGGUACACGAGUGGCGAACGGGUGAGUAACACGUGGGUGAUCUGCCCUGCACUUCGGGAUAAGCCUGGGAAACUGGGUCUAAUACCGGAUAGGACCACUGCCUGCAUGGGUGGUGGUGGAAAGCUUUUGCGGUGUGGGAUGGGCCCGCGGCCUAUCAGCUUGUUGGUGGGGUGAUGGCCUACCAAGGCGACGACGGGUAGCCGGCCUGAGAGGGUGACCGGACACACUGGGACUGAGAUACUGCCCAGACUCCUACGGGAGGCAGCAGUGGGGAAUAUUGCACAAUGGGCGCAAGCCUGAUGCAGCGACGCCGCGUGAGGGAUGACGGCCUUCGGGUUGUAAACCUCUUUCAGCACCGACGAAGCGCAAGUGACGGUAGGUGCAGAAGAAGGACCGGCCAACUACGUGCCAGCCGCCGCUGUAA